rnacentral:rRNA from 1 species
GUGCCAGCAGCCGCGGUAAUACAGAGAGUGCAAACGUUGUUCGGAAUUACUGGGCAUAAAGCGCACGUAGGCGGCGCCACAAGUGCGAGUUGAAAUCCCACGGCUUACCCGUGGAACCGGCUUGUAUACUGUGGUGCUCGAGGAUGGUAGGGGAGAGCGGAACUCCUGGUGGAGCGGUGAAAUGCGUAGAGAUCAGGAGGAACACCGGUGGCGAAGGCGGCUCUCUGGUCCAUCACUGACGCUGAGGUGCGAAAGCUAGGGGAGCAAACGGGAUUAGAAACCCCUGUAGUCC